UGGGCUUAGUUCCCAGAGCCCCGCAGGUGUGU
rnacentral:piRNA from 1 species